rnacentral:rRNA from 1 species
GACGAACGCUGGCGGCGUGCUUAACACAUGCAAGUCGAACGGAAAGGCCUUUUCGGAGGUACUCGAGUGGCGAACGGGUGAGUAACACGUGGGUGAUCUGCCCUGCACUCUGGGAUAAGCCUGGGAAACUGGGUCUAAUACCGGAUAGGACCGCACUUUAGUGCGUGUGGUGGAAAGUUUUUUCGGUGUAGGAUGAGCCCGCGGCGUAUCAGCUUGUUGGUGGGGUAAUGGCCUACCAAGGCGGCGACGGGUAGCCGGACUGAGGGGUUGGUCGGCCACACUGGGACUGAGAGACGGCCCAGACUCCUACGGGAGGCAGCAGUGGGGAAUAUUGCACAAUGGGCGCAAGGCGGAUGCAGCAACGCCGCGUGGGGGAUGACGGCCUUCGGGUUGUAAACUCCUUUCGCCAGGGACGAAGCGUUUUGUGACGGUACCUGGAGAAGAAGCACCGGCUAACUACGUG